CAAGUCACUUGACUUUUGAAGAAGGUGGGAUUUGACAAAUCCCCAAAGAGCCAAAGAGGGGAACCAUCACUUUCAGGUGUGGGUUUGCAGAUGGAAUCCUCACGACUGAGUGACAGCAGCUGGCUCUUGUUGAAGAGCUCUUUCCAGCCAGGCACUAAGUGUAUUCAACCCUCACAAGAGCCCCAGGAGGUGGGACCAAAGUCCCUGCACAUCACACAGGAGAAAGCGGCAGCACAGUGUGAGUGGACUGACCAACGCCACACAGCCGCCUGGAGAGGACAGUAAAGAUCUUUUGCUCGAGGACUGAAGGAGGCAGAGUGAACCAGGAGGGGCCCAAAGAGAAGUUCAGAGCAACAGUGGUACUGUGCAUUGGAACAUGAGAGUGAAUAAGAUAUGAUGGGGAGCCCUGGGUGUGUACAGCCUAGUGGAAAAGGUACAUUUGCAAUCCAGUAAUUAUCAAGUGAUAUGAGUCCUGCUUUCUAUCUUAAACUGCUAGUAAGUGCUGCUCUUUGCAAUGGAAGAUGGUGCCAAUGACUCACUUUCUAGAAGUCCACAUGAUCUGAGAUGGUUUUCGUAGUGGGGAAAUGCCCACAUUUGGAGGUUGCUACUCUUUUCUGUGUAAGGUAUGAAGUGCUAUGUACACACAAGAAAGGAAGAGAUUACUCUCAAGGAGAAAGAGUGGUGAGAGAAUCACGGAGGAUGUGUGAUAAACUGUACUCUGAAGGAAAGAUUGAUGCCAAGAAGAUAAGAACUACAUUUUAAC